CAUUUGGCUUACACACACUGACACGCACGGAGACAGAGAGGGAGAGAGAGCUUGUCGUGCGGCGACGACUGCUGGCGGGCGGGGACAGCUGGAGGCGCGGCAGCUACUGGUGCGGCUGGAGGGCGCUCUGUUCUAGUGCUGCGGACGAUGACGGCAACUGCUGGGAUGUUGCGGGCGACGGCGGCGGCAGAGGUGCGGCGGCAAGAGAGAGAGAGAAGAGUUCGCGUGCGUGACUCGUGAGCAGGAGGCAGGAGCAGCGAUUAGGAAUUUAAGGAUUUAGGAGAAAUAGGGAUUUUUAGUCAUUUAGGG
rnacentral:lncRNA from 1 species